rnacentral:rRNA from 1 species
GGUUAAGUGACUAAGCGUACACGGUGGAUGCCUAGGCAGUCAGAGGCGAUGAAGGGCGUGCUAAUCUGCGAAAAGCGUCGGUAAGGUGAUAUGAACCGUUACAACCGGCGAUACCCGAAUGGGGAAACCCAGUGUGUUUCGACACACUAUCAUGUCAUGAAUACAUAGUGGCAUGAGGCGAACCGGGGGAACUGAAACAUCUAAGUACCCCGAGGAAAAGAAAUCAACCGAGAUUCCCCCAGUAGCGGCGAGCGAACGGGGAGGAGCCCAGAACCUGAAUCGGCUUGUGUGUUAGUGGAAGCGUCUGGAAAGUCGCGCAGCAAAGGGUGAUAGCCCCGUACACUAAAAUGCACAGGUCGUGAGUUCGAUGAGUAGGGCGGGACACGUGACAUCCUGUCUGAAUAUGGGGGGACCAUCCUCCAAGGCUAAAUACUCCUGACUGACCGAUAGUGAACCAGUACCGUGAGGGAAAGGCGAAAAGAACCCCGGCGAGGGGAGUGAAAUAGAACCUGAAACCGUGUACGUACAAGCAGUGGGAGCACCUUCGUGGUGUGACUGCGUACCUUUUGUAUAAUGGGUCAGCGACUUAUAUUUUGUAGCAAGGUUAACCGUAUAGGGGAGCCGUAGGGAAACCGAGUCUUAACUGGGCGAAUAGUUGCAAGGUAUAGACCCGAAACCCGGUGAUCUAGCCAUGGGCAGGUUGAAGGUUGGGUAACACUAACUGGAGGACCGAACCGACUAAUGUUGAAAAAUUAGCGGAUGACUUGUGGCUGGGGGUGAAAGGCCAAUCAAACCGGGAGAUAGCUGGUUCUCCCCGAAAGCUAUUUAGGUAGCGCCUCGUGAACUCAUCUUCGGGGGUAGAGCACUGUUUCGGCUAGGGGCCAUCCCGGCUUACCAAACCGAUGCAAACUCCGAAUACCGAAGAAUGUUAUCACGGGAGACACACGGCGGGUGCUAACGUCCGUCGUGAAGAGGGAAACAACCCAGACCGCCAGCUAAGGUCCCAAAGUCAUGGUUAAGUGGGAAACGAUGUGGGAAGGCAUAGACAGCCAGGAUGUUGGCUUAGAAGCAGCCAUCAUUUAAAGAAAGCGUAAUAGCUCACUGGUCGAGUCGGCCUGCGCGGAAGAUGUAACGGGGCUAAACCAUGCACCGAAGCUGCGGCAGCGACGCUUAGGCGUUGUUGGGUAGGGGAGCGUUCUGUAAGCCGUUGAAGGUGGCCUGUGAGGGUUGCUGGAGGUAUCAGAAGUGCGAAUGCUGACAUAAGUAACGAUAAAGCGGGUGAAAAGCCCGCUCGCCGGAAGACCAAGGGUUCCUGUCCAACGUUAAUCGGGGCAGGGUGAGUCGACCCCUAAGGCGAGGCUGAAAAGCGUAGUCGAUGGGAAACAGGUUAAUAUUCCUGUACUUGGUGUUACUGCGAAGGGGGGACGGAGAAGGCUAGGCUAGCCGGGCGACGGUUGUCCCGGUUUAAGCGUGUAGGGGGUGUGACCUGGUAAAUCCGGUUGCAUAUCAACCCUGAGGCGUGAUGACGAUGCACUACGGUGCAGAAGUAGUUGAUGCCCUGCUUCCAGGAAAAGCCUCUAAGCUCUAGGUAACAUUGAAUCGUACCCCAAACCGACACAGGUGGUCAGGUAGAGAAUACCAAGGCGCUUGAGAGAACUCGGGUGAAGGAACUAGGCAAAAUGGUGCCGUAACUUCGGGAGAAGGCACGCUGGCAUGUAGGUGAAGUCCCUUGCGGAUGGAGCUGAAGCCAGUCGAAGAUACCAGCUGGCUGCAACUGUUUAAUAAAAACACAGCACUGUGCAAACACGAAAGUGGACGUAUACGGUGUGACGCCUGCCCGGUGCUGGAAGGUUAAUUGAUGGGGUCAGCCGCAAGGCGAAGCUCUUGAUCGAAGCCCCAGUAAACGGCGGCCGUAACUAUAACGGUCCUAAGGUAGCGAAAUUCCUUGUCGGGUAAGUUCCGACCUGCACGAAUGGCGUAAUGAUGGCCAGGCUGUCUCCACCCGAGACUCAGUGAAAUUGAACUCGCUGUGAAGAUGCAGUGUACCCGCGGCAAGACGGAAAGACCCCGUGAACCUUUACUAUAGCUUGACACUGAACAUUGAGCCUUGAUGUGUAGGAUAGGUGGGAGGCUUUGAAGCGUGGACGCCAGUCUGCGUGGAGCCAUCCUUGAAAUACCACCCUUUAAUGUUUGAUGUUCUAACUCGGCCCCAUAAUCUGGGGUGAGGACAGUGUCUGGUGGGUAGUUUGACUGGGGCGGUCUCCUCCCAAAGAGUAACGGAGGAGCACGAAGGUUAGCUAAUCACGGUCGGACAUCGUGAGGUUAGUGCAAAGGCAUAAGCUAGCUUGACUGCGAGAGUGACGGCUCGAGCAGGUACGAAAGUAGGUCUUAGUGAUCCGGUGGUUCUGAAUGGAAGGGCCAUCGCUCAACGGAUAAAAGGUACUCCGGGGAUAACAGGCUGAUACCGCCCAAGAGUUCAUAUCGACGGCGGUGUUUGGCACCUCGAUGUCGGCUCAUCACAUCCUGGGGCUGAAGUAGGUCCCAAGGGUAUGGCUGUUCGCCAUUUAAAGUGGUACGCGAGCUGGGUUUAGAACGUCGUGAGACAGUUCGGUCCCUAUCUGCCGUGGGCGUUGGAAGAUUGAGAGGGGUUGCUCCUAGUACGAGAGGACCGGAGUGAACGCACCACUGGUGUUCGGGUUGUCAUGCCAAUGGCAUUGCCCGGUAGCUAAGUGCGGAAAAGAUAAGCGCUGAAAGCAUCUAAGCGCGAAACUUGCCUCAAGAUGAGUCUUCCCUGGGCCUUUAAGGCCCCUGAAGGAACGUUUAAGACUAAGACGUUGAUAGGCUGGGUGUGUAAGUGCAGCGAUGCAUUGAGCUAACCAGUACUAAUGAUCCGUGAGGCUUAACCUU